AGUCCUGCUGGUUGCCUCAAGGGAGACCCUGCUAUAAGUACAAAUUAAAGCUCAAUAGCAACCAGCUAUAAAGUUAGUACACAUUUUUUACUUCUAACUUUAUAGCUGGUUGAAGC